GUACCCUCAAGCUCUGCUUGGUGUUGGGUGUUUGUCCUUUCCCUGCGUCAGGACUCGCCUCAAAUUCAUUGGCAGCCGAUGUAUUGGUUUGAAGCGCAGCACAAUUUUGCGAUUCAGGCUGGUAACCAUGGGCGUCCAGUAAGCACAUUUUAACAC
rnacentral:misc_RNA from 1 species